GAGAAGGAAAGCGGGGCGCAGAUCGGCCUGAGGUCAGUUCGCCCCACCCACCGUGCCCCGGAACGCCCCCUGAGGAGCUGACCAAUGGGAAGGCAGAGAUCUUCGUGACAUCAUGGGUCACCGGCAGACUUCACCAGGCCCUAGCGCCCCCCUCGUCUCCUCCUGUGGGGUUCCUGCCGCCACCUGGUGGCCUCUGAGGGGAAGGUGCAACGUGACCAGCUGCCCCAUGUACCUGCUGCCAUGACGUUGGCAGACUAUACCUUCACACGGUGAGUUCAUGGGCAUUCUGCACAUCGGAAUGGGACAUGCAGUCACACAACUCACUCCAGUCCCUGCGGCGUCUAGACUGGAGUCUGCUGCGUGAGUCAGAUGCCAAACUUGUGCUCUGAAUGACCGCACACAUCACCCCAACCCAACGUGGUGCCUGCCUGCAAUCCUACCACUGAGAGUCCAAGGCUUGCCUGGACAAUGUAGUUGGCGUCCAAGCCAGCUGGGGCUAUGGAAUACGAUGGUCUCAAAAGCAAGCCAAGAGCUGGGAGAUAUAAUCUCCCUUUGUAAAGCGCUUGCUUUGCAGACACAAGGAACUGAGUGUGAGCCUCAGAGCACACGUUUAAAGAAAAUAAAAGCCGGGCGGUGGUGGCGCACGCCUUUAAUCCCAGCACUCUGGAGGCAGAGUCAGG